GUGAAACCCCGUCUCUACUAAAAAUGCAAAAAUCAGCUCCAAUCAAGACAAUCUUCCCACCUUCUGUCAAGAACAUGCAGAGGACUUUGCCAGAACUAUUGGAUCAAACCACCGCACCAUGACACAUUGACCUGGGAAAGAAUUGUUUGUCUAUUUCUCAACUUGAUCACUCUUCUGUUUUGAACCUGCAGGCAUAAUGAAUGCUUGCUCUCCCCUU